rnacentral:rRNA from 1 species
AUUGAACGCUGGCGGCAGGCCUAACACAUGCAAGUCGAGCGGAUGAAGGGAGCUUGCUCCUGGAUUCAGCGGCGGACGGGUGAGUAAUGCCUAGGAAUCUGCCUGGUAGUGGGGGAUAACGUCCGGAAACGGGCGCUAAUACCGCAUACGUCCUGAGGGUGAAAGUGGGGGAUCUUCGGACCUCACGCUAUCAGAUGAGCCUAGGGCGGAUUAGCUAGUUGGUGGGGUAAAGGCCUACCAAGGCGACGAUCCGUAACUGGUCUGAGAGGAUGAUCAGUCACACUGGAACUGAGACACGGUCCAGACUACUACGGGAGGCAGCAGUCGGGAAUAUUGGACAAUGGGCGAAAGCCUGAUACAGCCAUGCCGCGUGUGUGAAGAAGGUCUUCGGAUCGUAAAGCCCUUUAAGUUGGGAGGAAGGGCAGUAAGUUAAUACCUUGCUGUUUUGACGUUACCAACAGAAUAAGCACCGGCUAACUUCGUG